UACGAAGGGGGCUAGCGUUGUUCGGAAUUACUGGGCGUAAAGCGCGCGCAGGCGGUUCUUCAAGUCAGAGGUGAAAGCCCAGAGCUCAACUCUGGAAUGGCCUUUGAGACUAGAGAACUAGGGUACGGGAGAGGAGAGUGGAAUUCCCGGUGUAGCGGUGAAAUGCGCAGAUAUCGGGAAGAACACCUAUGGCGAAGGCAGCUCUCUGGGACGGUACUGACGCUGAGACGCGAAAGCGUGGGGAGCGAACAGG
rnacentral:rRNA from 1 species